rnacentral:rRNA from 1 species
UGCUUUACACAUGCAAGUCGAACGGCAGCACGGAGAGCUUGCUCUCUGGUGGCGAGUGGCGAACGGGUGAGUAAUAUAUCGGAACGUGUCCAAUAAUGGGGGAUAACGAGUCGAAAGAUUCGCUAAUACCGCAUACGCCCUACGGGGGAAAGCAGGGGAUCGUAAGACCUUGCGUUAAUGGAGCGGCCGAUAUCUGAUUAGCUUGUUGGUGAGGUAAAGGCUCACCAAGGCGACGAUCAGUAGCUGGUUUGAGAGAACGACCAGCCACACUGGAACUGAGACACGGUCCAGACUCCUACGGGAGGCAGCAGUGGGGAAUUUUGGACAAUGGGGGCAACCCUGAUCCAGCCAUUCCGCGUGAGUGAAGAAGGCCUUCGGGUUGUAAAGCUCUUUCGCAAGGGAAGAAAACUUAUGAUCGAAUAAAUCAUGAGGUUGACGGUACCUUGAUAAGAAGCACCGGCUAACUACGUGCCAGCAGCCGCGGUAAUACGUAGGGUGCGAGCGUUAAUCGGAAUUACUGGGCGUAAAGCGUGCGCAGGCGGUUUUGUAAGUCGGAUGUGAAAUCCCCGGGCUCAACCUGGGAACUGCGUUCGAAACUGCAAGGCUAGAGUGUGUCAGAGGGGGGUAGAAUUCCACGUGUAGCAGUGAAAUGCGUAGAGAUGUGGAGGAAUACCAAUGGCGAAGGCAGCCCCCUGGGAUAACACUGACGCUCAUGCACGAAAGCGUGGGGAGCAAACAGGAUUAGAUACCCUGGUAGUCCACGCCCUAAACGAUGUCAACUAGUUGUUGGUAGAGUAAAAUCUAUGAGUAACGUAGCUAACGCGUGAAGUUGACCGCCUGGGGAGUACGGUCGCAAGAU